GUUGACUGAGUAGGGGAACAAAUUGGAUGGAAAGGACCUAGUGAUUGUCAUGCCAGAGAACACAUCUCAUGACCGAUCGGUUCCAACAAUCGUUAAGUAGAGUUAAGUGAUAGAAGAGCCAAUUAUGCCAUAGAUUGGUGGGAAGAACAGUGAAGAGAGAAUGAGAAAAGAAAGAAAUCUGAAGCAGAGGAGAUUUGUUUGGGCAAAGUUUGUA
rnacentral:sRNA from 1 species